rnacentral:rRNA from 1 species
UGAUCUGGGGCCGAGGAAUGUGGUGUUUGGGAGGACCAUGACCGCCUGUCCGGCUUUCGUCCAAGUCUCCAUGAACGGGGCGAGCAACCCAGAGAGGGUGUCAGGCCCGUGGUAUUGGCGAGUCGCGACCGUGGUAGAGGUCUCUCCUUGGAGUCGGGUUGCUUGAGAGUGCAGCUCUAAGCGGGAGGUAAACUCCUUCUAAGGCUAAAUACGGCCACGAGACCGAUAGCGAACAAGUACCGCGAGGGAAAGUUGAAAAGAACUUUGAAGAGAGAGUUCAAGAGUGCGUGAAACCGUUCGGAGGGUAAAACGGGUGGGCGCUCGAAGAUCGAACGAUCCUUACUCCCGCCAUCUGCACGCCAGUCUCCCGCAGAUCCAUCAAGUGUGCCCACGCCUUCACGGGCGCGAGUUUGCCACUGGUCUGUGGGAGUUCACUGGCGGCCGUGCAGGGGCCGCAAGUUUGGGAUCCAGUAGGACUCCGCAACCGUCUGGAUAGACGUCAAAAGGAACCUUCUUGAGUUUUCCACGGCUUG